rnacentral:rRNA from 1 species
CUAAGAAUAUUCCGCAAUGGACGAAAGUCUGACGGAGCGACGCCGCGUGGAUGACGAAGGCCGAAAGGUUGUAAAAUCCUUUUGCUGGGGAAGAAUAAGCAUGGGAGGGAAUGCCCGUGUGAUGACAUGAACCGGCGAAUAAGCCCCGGCUAACUACGUGCCAG